AUAAACGCUAGCGGCAGGCCUAACACAUGCAAGUCGAGGGGCAGCAUUUAAGUAGCUUGCUACUUAAGAUGGCGACCGGCGCACGGGUGCGUAACGCGUAUGUAACCUACCUUAAACAGGGGGAUAAUCCAGAGAAAUUUGGUCUAAUACCCCAUAAUACUAUGAUUGGCAUCAAUUUUAGUUGAAAAUUCCGAUGGUUUAAGAUGGACAUGCGUGACAUUAGCUAGAUGGUGAGGUAACGGCUCACCAUGGCGACGAUGUCUAGGGGGACUGAGAGGUUUUCCCCCCACACUGGUACUGAGACACGGACCAGACUCCUACGGGAGGCAGCAGUGAGGAAUAUUGGUCAAUGGACGCAAGUCUGAACCAGCCAUGCCGCGUGCAGGAUGACGGCUCUAUGAGUUGUAAACUGCUUUUAUACGAGGGUAAAAGUCUCUACGUGUAGGGAUUUGAAAGUAUCGUAUGAAUAAGGAUCGGCUAACUCCGUGCCAGCAGCCGCGGUAAAAC
rnacentral:rRNA from 1 species